GGGUUGUGAGGUUAAGCGACUAAGCGUACACGGUGGAUGCCCUGGCAGUCAGAGGCGAUGAAGGACGUGCUAAUCUGCGAAAAGCGCCGGCGAGGUGAUAUGAACCUUUGACCCGGCGAUGUCCGAAUGGGGAAACCCAGUGUGAUUCGUCACACUAUCGUUAACUGAAUACAUAGGUUAACGAGGCGAACCGGGGGAACUGAAACAUCUAAGUACCCCGAGGAAAAGAAAUCAACCGAGAUUCCCCCAGUAGCGGCGAGCGAACGGGGAGCAGCCCAGAGUCUGAAUCAGCUUGUGUGUUAGUGGAAGCGUCUGGAAAGUCGCACGGUACAGGGUGACAGUCCCGUACACGAAAGCACACAGGUUGUGAACUCGAAGAGUAGGGCGGGACACGUGGUAUCCUGUCUGAAUAUGGGGGGACCAUCCUCCAAGGCUAAAUACUCCUGACUGACCGAUAGUGAACCAGUACCGUGAGGGAAAGGCGAAAAGAACCCCGGCGAGGGGAGUGAAAAAGAACCUGAAACCGUGUACGUACAAGCAGUGGGAGCACCUUCGUGGUGUGACUGCGUACCUUUUGUAUAAUGGGUCAGCGACUUAUAUUCUGUAGCAAGGUUAACCGUAUAGGGGAGCCGAAGGGAAACCGAGUCUUAACUGGGCGUUAAGUUGCAGGGUAUAGACCCGAAACCCGGUGAUCUAGCCAUGGGCAGGUUGAAGGUUGGGUAACACUAACUGGAGGACCGAACCGACUAAUGUUGAAAAAUUAGCGGAUGACUUGUGGCUGGGGGUGAAAGGCCAAUCAAACCGGGAGAUAGCUGGUUCUCCCCGAAAGCUAUUUAGGUAGCGCCUCGUGAAUUCAUCUUCGGGGGUAGAGCACUGUUUCGGCUAGGGGGCCAUCCCGGCUUACCAACCCGAUGCAAACUACGAAUACCGAAGAAUGUUAUCACGGGAGACACACGGCGGGUGCUAACGUCCGUCGUGAAGAGGGAAACAACCCAGACCGCCAGCUAAGGUCCCAAAGUCAUGGUUAAGUGGGAAACGAUGUGGGAAGGCACAGACAGCCAGGAUGUUGGCUUAGAAGCAGCCAUCAUUUAAAGAAAGCGUAAUAGCUCACUGGUCGAGUCGGCCUGCGCGGAAGAUGUAACGGGGCUAAACCAUGCACCGAAGCUGCGGCAGCGACACUAUGUGUUGUUGGGUAGGGGAGCGUUCUGUAAGCCGUUGAAGGUGUGCUGUGAGGCAUGCUGGAGGUAUCAGAAGUGCGAAUGCUGACAUAAGUAACGAUAAAGCGGGUGAAAAGCCCGCUCGCCGGAAGACCAAGGGUUCCUGUCCAACGUUAAUCGGGGCAGGGUGAGUCGACCCCUAAGGCGAGGCCGAAAGGCGUAGUCGAUGGGAAACAGGUUAAUAUUCCUGUACUUGGUGUUACUGCGAAGGGGGGACGGAGAAGGCUAUGUUAGCCGGGCGACGGUUGUCCCGGUUUAAGCAUGUAGGCGGAACGAUUAGGUAAAUCCGGUCGUUUAUUAACGCUGAGGUGUGAUGACGAGGCACUACGGUGCUGAAGUAACAAAUGCCCUGCUUCCAGGAAAAGCCUCUAAGCAUCAGGUAACAUCAAAUCGUACCCCAAACCGACACAGGUGGUCAGGUAGAGAAUACCAAGGCGCUUGAGAGAACUCGGGUGAAGGAACUAGGCAAAAUGGUGCCGUAACUUCGGGAGAAGGCACGCUGAUAUGUAGGUGAAGCCCCUGCGGGUGGAGCUGAAAUCAGUCGAAGAUACCAGCUGGCUGCAACUGUUUAUUAAAAACACAGCACUGUGCAAACACGAAAGUGGACGUAUACGGUGUGACGCCUGCCCGGUGCCGGAAGGUUAAUUGAUGGGGUUAGCGGUAACGCGAAGCUCUUGAUCGAAGCCCCGGUAAACGGCGGCCGUAACUAUAACGGUCCUAAGGUAGCGAAAUUCCUUGUCGGGUAAGUUCCGACCUGCACGAAUGGCGUAAUGAUGGCCAGGCUGUCUCCACCCGAGACUCAGUGAAAUUGAACUCGCUGUGAAGAUGCAGUGUACCCGCGGCAAGACGGAAAGACCCCGUGAACCUUUACUAUAGCUUGACACUGAACACUGGUCCUUGAUGUGUAGGAUAGGUGGGAGGCUUUGAAGCGUGGACGCCAGUCUGCGUGGAGCCGCCCUUGAAAUACCACCCUUUAAUGGCUGGUGUUCUAACGUAGACCCGUAAUCCGGGUUGCGGACAGUGUCUGGUGGGUAGUUUGACUGGGGCGGUCUCCUCCCAAAGAGUAACGGAGGAGCACGAAGGUUAGCUAAUCCUGGUCGGACAUCAGGAGGUUAGUGCAAUGGCAUAAGCUAGCUUGACUGCGAGAGUGACGGCUCGAGCAGGUGCGAAAGCAGGUCAUAGUGAUCCGGUGGUUCUGAAUGGAAGGGCCAUCGCUCAACGGAUAAAAGGUACUCCGGGGAUAACAGGCUGAUACCGCCCAAGAGUUCAUAUCGACGGCGGUGUUUGGCACCUCGAUGUCGGCUCAUCACAUCCUGGGGCUGAAGUAGGUCCCAAGGGUAUGGCUGUUCGCCAUUUAAAGUGGUACGCGAGCUGGGUUUAGAACGUCGUGAGACAGUUCGGUCCCUAUCUGCCGUGGGCGCUGGAGAAUUGAGGGGGGCUGCUCCUAGUACGAGAGGACCGGAGUGGACGCAUCACUGGUGUUCGGGUUGUCAUGCCAAUGGCACUGCCCGGUAGCUAAAUGCGGAAAAGAUAAGUGCUGAAAGCAUCUAAGCACGAAACUUGCCCCGAGAUGAGUUCUCCCUGACCCUUUAAGGGUCCUGAAGGAACGUUGAAGACUACGACGUUGAUAGGUCGGGUGUGUAAGCGCAGCGAUGCGUUGAGCUAACCGAUACUAAUGAACCGUGAGGCUUAACCUUACAACGCCGAAGGUGUUU
rnacentral:rRNA from 1 species